AAGGAUUCCCUCAGUACGGGCGACGGAAGCGGGAAAAGCCCACACUGGUAAUCUCCGGGCGCAGUCCGGCGAAUUGUAAUCUGAAGGUUGUCGGCCUAACUAGGAGGGACGCAGAAAUGUCCACGAGCGGACUGCCAAAGAGGGUGAAAGCCCCGUCUGUGGUGUCGCUCCUAACCUGGCCGGGGGCCGAAGAGUCGUGUACUUUGAUACUAGUGCACAAAGCGGGAGAUAGACUUCUUCUAAGGCUAAAUAUAUGUAGGAAACCGAUAGCGAACAAGUACUGUGAAGGAAAGAUGAAAAGCACUUUGAAAAGAGAGUUAAAAGACUUGAAAUCGUUGAGGCGGAAGCGGUAGAAAAGUAUUCUAUCCCGAGUCCGGCGAACAGUGCCUAAGAGUAAUCGGAAGCGCUGGAGUUGGACGAAAGGAUGAGACAAGAUGAAGUCGGACGAUGCCAAAAGCGGGGAGAAGCCGGGAGCUUGCUUCAGCUUCUACUUGGCGGGGUGUCGAGCGGCUUGAGGGGCUUUGUGCGAUCUUGUCAAAAUGGUUUUUACCGACUCGUCUUGAAACACGAACCAAGGAGUCUAAGACUAACGCGAGUGUGGUGGUGGAAAAACCAACACGCGAAAUGAAAGUGAAUGAUGCCAAGGAAACGGCAGCAUCGACCGACCAUGACCCACUGGGGAAAGGUUUGAGUGAGAGCGUUAUUCUUAGGACCCGAAAGAUGGUGAAACUAU
rnacentral:rRNA from 1 species